ensembl:lncRNA
CCGGCGGCCAAGACCCGCCCAGGAGCCGCGGAGCACCUGGAGUCCCAGCUUUCCGCCCGGUCUGCUCCACCCCCACUCAGUGCAGGUGGCCUGGCGGCAGAAACCGCCUUAUGAAGGUCCCCUCCUGCCCAGGAGCUGGCCAGGGGCCUCCUUGGCAGAGCCGGGAAUCCCCAGCCCUUGCCUAGACAGUCGUGGUUGUGCCAGGCCCCCAUCCCCCAGCCUGGAUCUCUCUCUGUCUUCUGCCCUGGAGGGAUUGGGGGGCGCUCCGGGCCGCCAACAACCCAUCACCGUUGAUGGAGCCGGAGUGCCUGUCCUCUGCUCUAGGCCCUGUGCUGAGGUUCCCCUGCCUUGCAGCAAUCAACCCUCAGUCAGUCCUGUGACACCAGCUGGGUUCUUCCUGCAGAGCUGAAGUGACCAGUUAGAAACCCUCCUGAGGCUCUACCCUGCAGAGUGCCGUUCCUCCUUAAGGGCUUCCUGUCCCAGCACCUGCCCUUGAGGUUCCUGCUCCUGGAUUCUAUCAGAUUCUCACAAGCUUGUGUCUCCCCUACAAGGUAGCUGCUCAUCGGACUGGGCCUCUAGCACCCAACCAGGGCCUGUGAGUAUGUGCUGAACACGGAUGGGCUGCAGUGUGACCUGGACAGAGAGGGGUCCAGGCAGUGUCCUUCAGCCCAACUUCCAGCUGUAACAAGUGAGGGUCUGAGAGGCCCCAGCCCGGGAAGAAGCUGUGGCAGAGCAGCCCAGCCUGAGACCACUCCCCUCCUCUGUGAGGCCAGGAUGCCUUUCUCUGGGAAAUGGGGGUCUGCAAGGAAGGGCUGGCUUUGGGACUUUGGAGGCCAGGGGCAGUGGUUACUAUGGAGACUGAUGCGGCUCCUCAUACAUCUGGGAAUUGAGCAAUGAAGGGAGGUAGGGUCCGCUGAUGUGUCUGGAGCUUCGAAACUUCAGUCCCCUGAGCCUCAUUUCUAGCCUAGACCUGGGAUGAGUGUGAGUGAAUCCCUCCCCAGGCCCCUCAGCAGAGACUGCGGAGGAGUGGAUAGGGUACCCUGUGAGGGCUUGAUCAGGGAGUCUGUGCAGGGAG